GUCUUCAUGGUGUAGUGGUCAGCACGCUCGACGCGUAACCGAGAGGUCCGUGGUUCGAUUCCGGGCGAAGACG
rnacentral:tRNA from 1 species